AGACCAUGCUCAGUCCCCAGUGACCUGUAAGUUCUGGAGGCUGGGCAGUCUAAGAUCAGGGCACCAGUGGAUUCAGUGUCUGGUGAGGACUGAUUUAUUUUUCCAAGAUGGUACCUUAUUGCUGUGUCCUCACAUGGCAGAAGACAGAAAGGCAAGGAAGGUCAGUUCCAGGGACCAUUGCACUUAUUUCGGCAUGAGGAAGAUUUAUUGAACAUAUGCCAUGUGGUUCACCUGGACUUGCAGUGGACUUUCGCUUUGGAGGCAUGGUCACAAGGGUAAACAUAGACUCACAAAAUUGAAUGAAAGCAUUAAAACAAAAGUGAUGCUGCACGUGGGGAGAGAAGCAAGGGCAAAAAUUUUAGGAAG